AUUGAACGCUGGCGGCAGGCCUAACACAUGCAAGUCGAGCGGAUGAAGGGAGCUUGCUCCUGGAUUCAGCGGCGGACGGGUGAGUAAUGCCUAGGAAUCUGCCUGGUAGUGGGGGAUAACGUCCGGAAACGGGCGCUAAUACCGCAUACGUCCUGAGGGAGAAAGUGGGGGAUCUUCGGACCUCACGCUAUCAGAUGAGCCUAGGUCGGAUUAGCUAGUUGGUGGGGUAAUGGCCUACCAAGGCGACGAUCCGUAACUGGUCUGAGAGGAUGAUCAGUCACACUGGAACUGAGACACGGUCCAGACUCCUACGGGAGGCAGCAGUGGGGAAUAUUGGACAAUGGGCGAAAGCCUGAUCCAGCCAUGCCGCGUGUGUGAAGAAGGUCUUCGGAUUGUAAAGCACUUUAAGUUGGGAGGAAGGGCAGUAAGUUAAUACCUUGCUGUUUUGACGUUACCAACAGAAUAAGCACCGGCUAACUUCGUG
rnacentral:rRNA from 1 species